UACGGAGGGUGCAAGCGUUAUCCGGAAUUACUGGGCGUAAAGGGUGCGCAGGCGGUCUCGUAAGCUGGGUGUGAAAGCCCCGGGCUUAACCUGGGAAUGGCAUUCAGGACUGCGAGGCUUUGAGUGUGGCAGAGGGAGGUGGAAUUCCACGUGUAGCAGUGAAAUGCGUAGAGAUGUGGAGGAACACCGAUGGCGAAGGCAGCCUCCUGGGCCAGCACUGACGCUCAUGCACGAAAGCGUGGGGAGCAAACAGG
rnacentral:rRNA from 1 species